AGUCGGAAUCGCUAGUAAUCGCAGGUCAGAAUACUGCGGUGAAUACGUUCCCGGGCCUUGUACACACCGCCCGUCACACCAUGGGAGUGGGAUGCAAAAGAAGUAGUUAGUCUAACCUUCGGGAGGACGAUUACCACUUUGUGUUUCAUGACUGGGGUGAAGUCGUAACAAGGUAACCCUAGGGGAACCUGGGGU
rnacentral:rRNA from 1 species